UCGGGCUUUUGGCCGCUUUGCGGAUUUUUUUUUUUUUUUUUGACAAAAUGUCUGAGGGAGGAAUUGAGCGGGGAACGUCGAUGGCAAAAAAAGCUUUGCAGAAGGUGCAGUUUGGAUCCUGCCCUUCCCUGGGUGGCAGCUCGGGCUUGGCCCGGUGAAGCCUCGCCGCCGGCCGUGGGGACGCCUGUGGGGUGGCUGCCAGUUGGAUUUUUUUUUUUUUUUUAAUUCGAGUGCUGUGUUCAAAGGCUUUCGGUGCGCACGGGAGGACCCGCCACCGUAAAUAAGCAUAUGGGCGACUAACUGGAAGUUUUUCCCAGAGAUAACUUCACCAAGAUGUCCAGUGAUAGGCAAAGGUCGGAUGAUGAGAGCCCUAGCACCAGCAGUGGUAGUUCAGAUGCAGACCAGCGAGACCCUGCCGCUCCAGAGCCUGAGGAACAGGAAGAAAGAAAACCUUCUGCCACCCAGCAGAAGAAAAACACCAAACUCUCUAGCAAAACGACUGCUAAGUUAUCCACUAGUGCUAAAAGAAUUCAGAAGGAGCUAGCUGAGAUCACCCUUGAUCCUCCUCCUAACUGCAGUGCUGGGCCUAAAGGAGAUAACAUUUAUGAAUGGAGGUCAACUAUACUUGGUCCACCAGGUUCUGUGUAUGAAGGUGGUGUUUUUUUUCUGGAUAUCACAUUUUCUUCAGAUUAUCCAUUUAAGCCACCAAAGGU
rnacentral:lncRNA from 1 species